ensembl:snRNA LOC120099433 U7 small nuclear RNA
UGCUGUUACAGCUCUUUUAGAAUUUUUCCAGUAAGAUUUCUGACUUUUGUUGGAAAACCCAA